rnacentral:lncRNA from 1 species
GGCAUGGUGGUGCAUGCCUGUAAUCCCAGCUACUCGGGAGGCUGAUGCAGGAGAAUUGCUUGAACCUGGGAGGCGGUGGUUGUAGUGAGCCGAGGUGGUGCCAUUGCACUGCAGUCUGGGCAACAAGAAUGAAACUCCGUCUCAAAAACAAAAAACAAAAAGUAAAAAAACCACUGGCACUUUACCUUGAUAAUCCUCCAUAGCUAGACCUUGUAAAUAAGAAAUUUUGUAUUAAAAGUAUCAAAUAUUUUAUGAUCACAUUCUUUUGGUAACAGUGUUAUUCAGAGAAAAAUCACGUACCAUAUAAUUCACCCACUUAAAGUGUCUAAUUUAGUGUUUUUUAGUAUAUUCACAGAGUUGUACAACCACCACUACCAUCAAUUUUAUUGUCACUUUUAAGUGAAGGAUUGUAUAUCAGGGUAGUUCUUAGGAAGCUAGGGUGGAUUUCAUAUCCCACCUUGUAUGUUAUUGAAGAAGACAAAUUCUUCUCUUCAGUGAUGACAGCAUUGUGUGUGUGUCUAGUUGUAAUCAUUUCAGUUACAAAUGAAAAGUAGAAGAGGAAAAUGUAGAGAAUAAUGGCAUACUGAAGUCUUUGAAGAAGUUUUACCUGUAAGAUAAAUUGCUUAUUUCAUAUCCCACCUUGUAUGUUAUUGAAGAAGACAAAUUGCUUAUUUCAUAUCCCACUUUGUAUGUUACUGAAGAAGACAAAUUCUUCUCUUCAGUGAUGACAGCAUUGUGUGUGUGUCUAGUUGUAAUCAUUUCAGUUAGGAAUGAAAAUGUAGAAGAGGAAAAUGUAGAGAAUAAUGGCAUACUGAAGUCUUUGAAGAAGUUUUACCUGUAAGAUAAAUUGCUUAUUUCAUGACAUUUGAAUUAUAAACUUUAGCCAAAUCUCUUAAUAUUUUCAAUUUUUUUCUUAACAGUUUUAACAAAACAGAAAUGUGUAAAAAUUUGUGUAAAAUCUUACGAUCGAGACCAAAUGGACAAGCUGGCUUUUUUUGAAGAAAGUAAUACGACUGAAUUACUAGCAUCAUUGGUAGGUUUGGCAUCUGAAAUAACAUGACUUGGCUGGGUGAGGUGGCGUGCCACCUCAGCACUUUGGGAGGCCAAGGUGGACAGAUUGCUUGAGCUCAGGAGUUUGAUACCAGCCUGGCCAGCGUGGCGAAAACCCAUCUCUACUAAAAAUACAAAAAUUAGCCGAGCAUGAUGGCAGGCACCUGUAAUCCCAGCUACUUGGGAAGCUGAGGCACAUGAGAAUUGCUUGAACCUGGGAGGCGGAGGUUGCAGUGAGCCCAGAUUGCACCACUGCACCCCAGCCUGGUCAACAGAGGGAGACCCUUACUCAAAAAAAAAAAAAAAUCCAUGCUGUAUUUAGAAAGGAAACUAUAAUACCCUAAUUAUAGAUUUACUCUACUACUUAUCUUUUUUAUUCAUCUAAUUUCAAGUAAAUAUGUAAAAGGUAAAAUUGUUUUUCCAUCUACUACCUAAAAUCAUCUUGUAUAUCUUCAGUGCUAUGUAUUUUUCACAAUGGGAAGCAGUGAGAUAAAGAAGUAAAGAAAAUGGGAAGAGAAGCAACAAACAACUGCUUAAUUGAUAGUUCUUUGAAAGCAAGGGUAAACUGGCAGAAGAAAGGAGUUAAUGAACAGGAGAAAUGUUCAUUAAUAUGGUCUGUGUUUGAGACCAUAUAUGAAAGUGGGUUCUUAGGGAACAUUUAACGACGACAUCUUUCAAGAUCAAGUCUGGGAAGAAGAAAGGGACCAAUAGGAUGAAAAACCCCCAGUUGGCAGGAGUAGCAAUAACUUUACCAACAUUUGUAGGUUGUCAACAUAAAAUUACCAAGGUUAAGUAAAAGCUUAAAUAAGGCCGGGUGCAGUGGCUCACGCCUGUAAUCACAACUUUGGGAGGCCAGGGCAGGUGGAUCACAAGGUCAGGAGUUCGAGAUCAUCCUGGCUAACAUGGUGAAAUCCUGUUUCUACUAAAAUACAAAAAAAAAAAAAAAAAAAAAAAAAUUAGCCGGGCGUGGUGGUGCAUGCCUGUAGUACCAGCUACUCGGGAGGCUGAGGCACGGGAAUCACUUGAACCCAGGAGGUGGAGGUUGCAGUAAGCCCAGACUGCGCCACUGCAGUCCAGGCGUGGCGACAGAGUGAGACUCUGUCUAAAAAAAAACAACAACAAAGCUUAAAUAAAACCAGCAGCUACUUUUUGCUAUUUCUUUUAUAUAGUGAUACUCUUUCUUGUGAAUUUCCUCUUCCUCCUCUCCUUCUCCUCCUCCUCCUCCCCCUCCUCCUUCUUCUUAUUCUUCCUCUUCCUCCUCUUCCUCUUCCUCCUCUUCCUCUUCUUCCUCUUCCUCCUCUUCCUCUUCUUCCUCUUCCCCUUCCUCUUCUCCUUCUCCUCCUCCUCCUUCUCCUCUUCCUCCUUCUUAUUCUUCCUCUUCCUCUUCUUCCUCUUCCUCCUCUUCCUCCUCUACCUCCUCUACCUCUUCUUCCUCUUCCCCCUCCUCUUCUCCUUCUCCUCCUCCUCCUUCUUCUUCUUUCUCACUUUGUCACCCAGGCUGAGUGCAGUGGCAUGAUCACGGCUCACUGCAACCUCGACCUCCAGGGCUCAAGCCAUCCUCCUUCCUCAGCCUCCUGAGUAGCUGGGACUACAGGCGUGUGCCACCACGUCAGGCUAAUCUUUGUAGUUUUUGUAGAGAUAGGGUUUUGCCAUGUUGCCCAGGUUGGUCUCGAACUCCUGGACUCAAGUGAUCUGCCCGCCUCAGCCUCCCAAAGUGCUGGGAUUACAGGUGUGCACCACUGCUCCCAGCCUAUUUUUAUUUUAAAGAUAUUUAUUUUAGAUAGAUACUGAUGUCCUCCUCCCUUCACCCUGACACAUAGGCUCCUUUUCGUUGAAAAAUGAAAGUUUCAGGCAAGUUUCAGAAAAGUUUAUAGGCUGGGCAUGGUGGCUCAUGCCAGCACUUUGUGAGGCCAAGGUGGGCGGAUCGCCUGAGGUCAGGGGUUCAAGACCAGCCUGGCCAACAUGGCGAAACCGAUCUCUACUAAAAAUACAAAAAAAUUAGCCAGGCGUAGUGUUGGGCGCCUGUAAUCCCAGCUAUUCGGGAGGUUGAGGCAGGAGAAUCACUUGAAUCUGGGAGGUGGAAGUUGCAGUGAGCUGAGAUUGCUCCACUGCACUCCAGCCUGGGCGACAGAGCAAGAAUCCAUCUCAAAAAAAAAAAAAAAUAAUAAGAAGUUGUUUAUAGUGCCAUUGAUCAUAUCAGUGGGAAUAAUUAUACCAAUUAUUUUCAAAGUGUGGUCUGGGGGCCUCUGAGAACUUUUCAGGGAGUCUGCAAGGUCCAAACUAUUUUCAUAGUAGUACUAAGCUGUUACUUGCCUUCUUCACUCUCAUUCUUUCAUGAGUGUACGGUGGAAUUUUCCAGAGGCUACAUGAAGUGAGAUGAUGAUCUCAACUUCUUGGGAGGCUGAGGCAGGAGAAUCACUUGAACCCUGGAGACAGAGGUUGCAGUGAGCCAAGAUCACGCCAUUGCACUCCAGCCUGGGUGAUUGAGUGAGACUCUGUUUCAAAAAAAAAAAAAAAAAAAAAAAAAAAGUUAAAAAACUCCUUUUUUGGUCUAACACACUAAAAGUCAAGUUUUGAUAAUUUAUUUGAAGAACUAUUAGAUAAAUAUAGUAGCAGAGAACAAUGGGCUAGAAUAGAGUCCAGAAAGAGACAUAAAUAUUUAUGGAAGUUAUUUAUGGGAAUUUCAGUUUAUCAUAAAGGUGGUGUUUCUUUCUUUUCUUCUUUUUUUUGAGACCGAGUCUCGCUCUGUCGACCAGGCUAGAGUGCAGUGGCACACGAUCUCGGCUCACUGCAACCUCCGCCCUCCGCCUCCUGGAUUCACGCCAUUCUUCUGCCUCAGCCUCCCGAGUAGCUGGGACUACAGGCACCUACCACCAUGCCCGGCUAAUUUUUUUUUGUAUUUGUAGUAGAGACGGGGUUUCACUGUGUUAGCCAGGAUGGUCUCGAUCUCCUGACCUUGUGAUCUCCCCGCCUCAGCCUCCCAACGUGCUGGGAUUACAGGCAUGAACCACGGCGCCCUGUGUUUUUUUUUGAGAUGGAGUUAUGGAGUUUCAGUCUUCACCCAGGCUGGAGUGAAGUGGUGCGAUCUUGGCUUACUGCAACCUCCGUCCCCCAGGUUCAAGCAAUUCUCCUGCUUCAGCCUCCCGAAUAGCUGGGAUUAUAGGCGCCCACCACCAUGCCCGGCUAAUUUUUGUAUUUUUAGCAGAGACGGGGUUUCACCAUGUUGGCCAGGCUGGUCUCAAACUCCUGACCUCAGGUGAUCCACCCGUCUUGGCCUCCCAAAGUGCUAAGAUUACAGGCGUGAGCCACCGUGCCCCACCAAAGGUGGUGUUUCAAAUUAGCGAAGACAGUUCAAUAAAUGAUGUGGGGACUGACAACUGUUUCAGGACAGGAAUAAAAUGAUCUUGGUCUAUACUUCAGUCCUUAUACCCAAAUGAACUACAAGGGAAUUAAAACUUUAAACAUUAGGAAGAUAGAAGAAAACAUGGAAUGAGGAGGCAAGGUACUGUAUAAGCUCCAGAAACUAUAAAGGAAAUGACGGAUGAAUCUGACUAUGUAAAAAUAAAAACAAAAAAUCCUUCUACAUGGCAAAUAAAAUAAAUAGCAAAGUCAAAAUGCAACUGAUAUACCAAGAAAAACUAUUUGUGAUUUGGGGGUGAUGAAAGAUUGAUUUCUUUCAUCCAGAGCCCAUAUGCAAACCAAUCAGGAAAAGGCAAACAGACCAAAAGAAAAAUGGGCAAAGGCUACAGUCUGCUUUACAGAAAAAUAAAUGCAAAUGGACAAAGAACAUGAACCUAUACUCAACUGCAGCCAUAAUUAAAGAGAUACAAAUUAAGACAACACUGAAAAGCAUUUUUUUUUUUUUUUCUGAGACUGAGUCUUACUUUGUCGCCAAGGCUGGAGUGCAGUGGCUCGAUCUUGGCUCACUGCAACCUCUGCUGCCCGGGUUCAAGUGAUUCUCCUGCCUCAGCCUCCCAAGUAGCUGAGAUUACAGGCACCUGCCACCGUGCACGGCUAAUUUUUGUAUUUUUAGUAGAGACGGGGUUUCGCUAUCUUGGUCAGGCUGGUCUCGAACUCCUGACCUCAUGAUCCACUCGCCUCAGCCUCCUAAAGUGCUGGGAUUACAGGCGUGAGCCACUGCGCCCAGCCGAAAAGCAAUAUUGUUCAUCUGUUGGAUCUACAAGCAUAUUAAAGGGUGAUGCCUAGUGCUGGCUAAGAUGUAGGUAAACACACUAUUAUAGUAAAUUGAUAAAGUCUUGCUGGAGGACACUUGGCUGUAGCUAGUAAAAUAGAAGAAAUGUGUGAUAAUGCGUAGUAAUAGCAAAACUUAUGAAAUAACACACAACAAUAAUAUAUAUAUAUGUAUAUAUAUAUAACAAAAUAAAAAAAGAUACAUAUAUUUGACCUGGUAAUUCCACUGCUAGGAAUUCAUUCUCCAGAUAACCUGCAAAGGCUUGCCAAUAUGCACAUCCUGUGAGUGUGUUUAGAUGAGAGAGCUCUUGGCAAGGCUCAGUUGGUGGAGUCCCACUGUGACCCUCAGCUGACUAUGUUGUGUUAGUAAGACAGUGUGUAUAGAACAAUAACUAUGGUUAAGUGAAACCUCUGCUUGUUUUUCUUUUUGUUUUUUGUUUGAGAGGGAACCUCACUCUGUCACCCAGGCUGGAGGGCAGUGGUGUGAUCUUGGCUCACUGCAGCCUCUGCCUCCAGGGUUCAGGCAAUUUUCCUGCCUCAGGCUUCCUCAGGCGUAGCUGGGAUUACAGGCACGCACCACCUAGCCCCGGUUAAUUUUUGUAUUUUUUUAGUAGAGAUGUGGUUACACCAUGUUGGCUAGGCUGGUCUUAAACUCCUGACCUCGAGUGAUCUGCCUGCUUUGGCCUCCCAAAAUGCUGGGAAUACAGGCGUGAGGCACCGCACCCGACCUUCUGCUUAUUUUUCUAUAUUGAUCAUGUACCACUUUAGCUUAUGGAAUUGUGGCAAUACAAUUUCAGUUUGUACAUCUACUUUGAUUUGCUGUUUCUGCAUUCUUGUUUUAGCACUGUAUUAGAGGUAGUUUUUUCAAAAUUCAUGCCAACAUAAAUAGCUUCAUCCCCAGGAGAUGAUCAGUGCAAAAGUUUCAAUUACUCCUGUCACUUUUUUUUUUUUUUUUUGAUGGAGUCUCGCACUGUUGCCCAGGCUGGAUGCAGUGGCAUGAUCUCAGCUCACUGCAAGCUCUGCCUCCCGGGUUCAUGCCAUUCUCCUACCUCAGCCUCCCUAGUAGCUGGGACUACAGGCGCCCGCCACCAUGCCCAGCUAAUUUUUUGUAUUUGUAGUAGAGACGGGGUUUCACUGUGUUAGCCAGGAUGAUCUUGAUCUCCUGACCUCGUGAUCCGCCCGCCUCGGCCUCCCAAAGUGCUGGGAUUACAGGCGUGAGCCACCGCACCCGGCCUCUCCUGUCACUUUUAAAAAAGUUACUCCUCAUAUCUAUUGGCUGAGGAGAUGGAAGUGUUUCUGGGGAUUUGAGAUGCUAAGAUGAUGAUGUUUUAGGCCCACGGCCAUGGCACCUACUUUUGUUCUAUUCAGCCUACUGAGAGGUGACAGUGUGCUGGCAGCCCUCACAGCCCUCCCUCGCUCUCAGCGCUUCCUCUGCCUGGGCUCCCACUUUGGCGGCACUUGAGGAGCCCUUCAACCCGCUGCUGCACUGUGGGAGCCCCUUCCUGCGCUGGCUGAGGCAGGAGCUGGCUCCCUCAGCUUGCGGGGAGGUGUGGAGGAGAGGCGCGGGCAGGAACAGCAGCAGUGUGACUUCCGGGUGGGCGUGGGCUCGGUGGGCUGCACACUCAGAGCGGCCAGCUGGCUCCGCCGGCCCGGGGCAGUGAGGGGCUUAGCACCUGGGCCAGCAGCUGCUGUGCUUGACUUCUCGCCGGGCCUUAGCUGCCUCCCUGUGGGGCAGGGCUCGGGACCUGCAGCCCGCCAUGCCUGAGCCUCCCCCCGCCAUGGGCUCCUGCACUGCCGGAGCCUCCCCGACGAGCGCCGCCCCCUGCUCCAUGGCACCCAGUCCCAUCGACCACCCAAGGGCUGAGGAGUGCGAGUGCAUGGCGUGGGACUGGCAGGCAGCUCCACCUGCGGCCCCGGUGCAGGAUCCACGGGGUGAAGCCAGCUGGGCUCCUGAGUCUGGCGAGGACUUGGAGAACCUUUAUGUCUAGCUAAGGGAUUGUAAAUACACCAAUUGGCACUCUGUAUCUAGCUCAAGGUUUGUUAAACACACCAAUCAGCACCCUGUGUCUAGCUCAGGGUUUGUGAAUGCACCAAUGGACACUCUGUAUCUAGCUACUCUGGUGGGGACUUGGAGAACCUUUAUGUCUAGCUAAGGGAUUGUAAAUACACCAAUUGGCACUCUGUAUCUAGCUCAAGGUUUUUAAACACACCAAUCAGCACCCCGUGUCUAGCUCAGGGUUUGUGAAUGCACCAAUCGACACUCCGUAUCUAGCUAAUCUAGUGGGGACGUGGAGAACUUUUGAGUCUACCUCAGGGAUUAUAGAUGCACCAAUCAACACCCUGUCAAAACGGACCAAUCAGCGCUCUGUAAAACAGACCAAUCAGCUCUCAGUAAAAUGGACCAAUCAGCAGGAUGUGGGUGGGGCCAGAUAAGGGAAUAAAAGCAGGCUGCCGGACCCAGCAGUGGCAAGGCGCUUCGGUUGUCUUCCAUGAUGUGGACGCUUUGUUCUUUUGCUCUUUGCAAUAAAUCUUCCUGUUGCUUUCUUUGGGUCCACACUGCCUUUAUGAGCUGUAACACUCACCGUGAAGGUCUGAAGCUUUACUCUGGAAGCCAGUGAGACCAGGAACCCACCGGGAGGAAUGAACGACUCCAGACACACCGCCUUAAGAUCUGUGACACUCACCGCGAAGGUCUGCAGCUUCAUUCCUGAUCCAGCGAGACCAUGAACCCACCAGAAGGAAAAAACUCCGGACACAUCCGAACGUCUAGAAGAAACAAACUCCAGACACACCGCCUGUAAGAACUGUAACGGUCACCGCGAGGGUCCGCGGUUUCAUUCUUGAAGUCAGUGAGACCAAGAACCCACCAUUUCUGGACACACUACCAUGCCAGAGAUCCAGGUAGGUCUCUGGAUCUUUGAGACCCCCACCUCACACCUCCUUAUUAUGAAACAUUAUGGUUUUUACAAUUACAAAAGUAGUAUAGGCUUGUGAAAACCUCCUACAAAACUCUUUAUUUGGUAUAGAGUUCCAAGAGUCUCCUCGUAAUCCUCUCCAAUUUUAAUAAAUUUUUUUUAUGUAUACUGUGUAUAACUUCAUGUGAGAUUUUAU